rnacentral:rRNA from 1 species
AAUGAACGCUGGCGGCGCGCCUAAUACAUGCAAGUCGAGCGAGAAGACGUAGCAAUACGUUUGUAAAGCGGCGAACGGGUGAGGAAUACAUGGGUAACCUACCCUCGAGUGGGGAAUAACUAGCCGAAAGGUUAGCUAAUACCGCGUACGCUCCUUAGACUUCGGUUCAGGGAGGAAAGCGAUACCGUGGGUAUCGCGCUCUUGGUUGGGCUCAUGUCCUAUCAGCUUGUUGGUGAGGAACGGCUCACCAAGGCUUCGACGGGUAGCUGGUCUGAGAGGACGACCAGCCACACCGGAACUGAGACACGGUCCGGACUCCUACGGGAGGCAGCAGUGGGGGAAUAUUGGACAA